rnacentral:lncRNA from 1 species
AGCCAUUUCAGGCAUACAUUGUUUAAAUCAUUCACCCUGAGAGAAAGGCCCAGUGGAAACAGCUUGCAAUAACACAUCCAGAAUGACCUAUUGGGCCAUUUCUUACUUCCUUACCAGGAUUUGUGCCUCCAGGAGCCAUCUGGCUCUAUGAAACCUGCCUGCCUACCUGCUGUAAACUACCUCGGAGCCUGAACAAUCUGAGUAAAGCUGUAUUUAUGAAUACAGGCAAAGAAAGAAAAAGGCUUCCUUAUGAUGGAAACCUGGUCUGGGUUGCUCACCACUGAACCUCCUCACACCUGGAGCCGUGCCUAGCACAAGGAGCUUACGUAUCCUCAGAAGAGAAGAAACAGAGACGAUUGCUGUCUUCAUUUUAGAGACAAAGAACCCGAGGCGUAGAGAGCCAGGAAAUGGAGGUAAUGACUUCUGCCCUGGAGGACUACAUGGCAUCUUCUAUGUUGAAACCACUUUCAAAGUUUUCAAAACUAUACACCCAUCAUGUAUCACUAAUAUAGCUCGAUAUACUACGGAUCACAGUCCUGACUUCAACUGUUAGUGUAAUGUCUCAUCAACACUGAGAACACGUUAUGUGGUGUUUUACUGUCAUGAACGAAACCUAUUUCCCCAGAAAAACUGGCAGAUAUUAGCAUUAAUCUGAUUUUUCAAAGAAGUUAAUUAUUUCCCAGAAUAAGUCACUGUGACUUAUCAAAGGGCCUUGGUUGGUGGGAAGUAAAGCCCAGACUGCAUUCUUGAAGCUGCUAGCCUUUGCCAGCUCAUUGCAAAUUGAGCAACACUGAUGAACCCACAGUUAAUCUAUGGAGUCAAAUGCAACUGGACACAAAUGCCUGGGGAUUUUCCCUGUGAGAUUCUCUUGCCCUUCUGGUGAUGGUGAAGGACAGCACUACCCAUGGCAGGGGCGGUCACUAGUCUCUGGCAUUUACUUGACCUUAUGGCUGCCAUGAACACCAGGCACAGCCUUUGCAGGAGGCACUGCUGCCUUCAGCCUGCCUGGCCUGGGGGCGCAGAGAGGAAAGGGAUAUGGGCUUUUGCAAAAGGCCCCUAGAGCAAAGUCAGACUGAUGGCAAAGGCUUGAGUGCUCGAUGGGCGAGGGAGAUGCUUUCGCUUCAAUUUUCACUGAGUAAUGAGGCGUACUGAGCAAAAUACACUUGUCCUUGGAAUGUGAGGCACACACGUGGCAGGCAUAAAGUUAUAAAAAGGAGGAGCUCCUUAGUCUGCUGAACUUAAAGACUUAUCUUGCCUUCCUGCUGUUAAUUCUUUACAGAGACUUCCUCUUCUCCAUUUCCCAGGGUUCUCCAUGGGGAUGUGCUUGAGGGAGAAUGAGCAGUUUAAGAGAAAAGAAUUCCUCCAGAGUGGGUUGUGGAGAGCACUGGAGAAGGUCUGGGCUGGAGCUAGAGAUUUACCUUGGCUAAAGAUAAGAGUCUGUGGUGUAUAUACACAAUGGAAUACCAUUCAGCCUUGAAAAAGAAGGAAAUAUGUCAUCAGU